rnacentral:rRNA from 1 species
UGAGUACGAGCUGCUAGGGCAGCGAAGUGGGUGAUGUCAAGCUUCCAGGAAAAGCCCUAUACCCGUUAAGGCAUGAUGGCCUGUACCCGAAACCGACACAGGUGGGGUGGUAGAGAAUACCGAGGGGCGCGAGAUAACUCUCUCUAAGGAACUCGGCAAAAUGGCCCCGUAACUUCGGGAGAAGGGGUGCCACCGCAAGGUGGUCGCAGUGAAGAGGCCCAGGCGACUGUUUACCAAAAACACAGGUCUCCGCUAAGUCGCAAGACGAUGUAUGGGGGCUGACGCCUGCCCAGUGCCGGAAGGUUAAGGAAGCUGGUCAGCGUAAGCGAAGCUAGCGACUGAAGCCCCGGUGAACGGCGGCCGUAACAAUAACGGUCCUAAGGUAGCGAAAUUCCUUGUCGGGUAAGUUCCGACCCGCACGAAAGGCGUAACGAUCUGGGCGCUGUCUCGGAGAGAGGCUCGGCGAAAUAGAAUUGUCUGUGAAGAUGCGGACUACGUGCACCCGGACAGAAAGACCCUAUGAAGCUUUACUGUAGCUUGGUAUUGUGCUCGGGCUCGGAAUGCGCUGGAUAGGUGGGAGGCUAUGAACCAUUGCUUGUGGGUGAUGGUGAGCCACUGGUGAGAUACCACUCUUUCCGAGCUAGAGUUCUAACAGCCACCCGUUAUCCGGGGGCUGGACAGUAUCAGGUGGGCAGUUUGUCUGGGGCGGUCGCCUCCUAAAAGGUAACGGAGGCGCGCAAAGGUUUGCUCAGGCUGGUUGGAAAUCAGCCGACGAGUGUAAAAGCAGAAGCAAGCUUGACUGUGAGACCUACAAGUCGAACAGGGAGGAAACUCGGCUUUAGUGAUCCGACGGUUCUGCGUGGAAGGGCCGUCGCUCAACGGAUAAAAGUUACUCUAGGAUAACAGGCUGAUCUCCCCCAAGAGUUCACAUCGACGGGGAGGUUUGGCACCUCGAUGUCGGCUCAUCGCAACCUGGGGCUGAAGUCGGUCCCAAGGGUUGGGCUGUUCGCCCAUUAAAGCGGUACGCGAGCUGGGCUCAGAACGUCGUGAGACAGUUCGGUCCAUAUCCGGUGCAUGCGCAGGAAUAUUGAGAGGAUUUCUCCCUAGUACGAGAGGACCGGGAGGAACGCACCUCUGGUGUACCAGUUAUCGUGCCAACGGUAAACGCUGGGUAGCCAUGUGCGGAGAGGAUAACCGCUGAAAGCAUCUAAGUGGGAAGCCCACCUCAAGAUGAGUAUUCCCAUGGGGUAACCCAGUAAGGUCACGGGAAGAACACCCGUUGAUAGGCUCUACGUGGAAGCGCAGUAAUGUGUGAAGCGGAGGAGUACUAAUAGACCGAGGGCUUGAC